rnacentral:piRNA from 1 species
ACAAGAUUCCCACUGCCAGUUUGGGGUUUUGG